GACGAACGCUGUCGGCGUGCUUAACACAUGCAAGUCGAACGAAGUGGCGAACGGGUGAGUAACGCGUAAUCAACCUGCCCUUCAGAGGGGGACAACAGUAGGCAACGACUGCUACUACCGCAUACUGAAGGACGGGAUUGCGGCUGAUUAGCUAGUUGGAGGGGUAACGGCCCACCAAGGCGAUGCUCAGUAGCCGGUCUGAGAGGAUGAACGGCCACAUUGGGACUGAGAAAAGGUCCAGACUCCUACGGGAGGCAGCAGGAGGGAAUCUUCCGCAAUGGGCGAAAGCCUGACGGAGCAACGCCGCGGGAGUGAUGAAGGUCUUCGGAGCGUAAAACUCUGUGAUUAGGGAAGCGGUACCUAAUCAGAAAGCCACGGCUAACUACGUGCCAGCAGCCGCGGUAAUUC
rnacentral:rRNA from 1 species